UACAGGGGUCUCAACCGUUGUUCGGAUUCAUUGGGCGUAAAGGGUGCGUAGGCGGUCGCGCAAGUCGGAUGUGAAAUCUCAGGGCUCAACCCUGAAACUGCAUUCGAUACUGCGUGGCUAGAGUGCGGUAGGGGAGACUGGAAUUCCUGGUGUAGCGGUGAAAUGCGCAGAUAUCAGGAGGAACACCGGUGGCGAAGGCGGGUCUCUGGGCCGUAACUGACGCUGAGGAGCGAAAGCGUGGGGAGCGAACAGG
rnacentral:rRNA from 1 species